rfam:Schistosoma mansoni strain Puerto Rico chromosome 2, complete genome
GGCUCGUUGGUCUAGGGGUAUGAUACUCGCUUAGGGUGCGGGUGGUCCCGGGUUCGAAUCCCGGACGAGCCC